CAUGGACUAUUUUAAGCAUUGGUCGACCGCUGGGAUAAUAAAGCAGACACGUACUCAGUGGCUGGAAUUUAGCCAUCAACUUUUCAAUUCAGCGGUCGCGGGAGGUGCUGGAGCCUAUCUCAGCUGCAUUCGGGCGGAAGGCGGGGAACACCCUGGACAAGUCGUCACCUCAUCACAGCUUGGCGUUGUGGCGUCUUACAGUGUUCAGCGGUCCUUGAACGCACUGUAAAAACACUGCCGUCGUGUAUUCCUGAGUAUUGAAGAAUGACUCUGUUGAAGAAAGCCCAGUUUGUAGGUUCAAUGUGCACAAUUUCAUAUCUUACUUCCUCGGACAGUAAUGUGUUUGUAGAACAUGUUAGGCUCGCAAGAAGAGUUUACUAGGAAUAAAAAUUAGAUACUUUUUUAUUUUUUAAUGAAACUUCUGUUUCAAAUGUGUCCAUUAGAUGUCGCAAUUCAAGUGUAACCCACAUCACACUAGACAGUGUUGAAAGAUGACGGGUCAGCUGACUUCAAGCACCCAAUUGCAAGCAAUCGGCCGCUUCUGUUGUGGCAGCCAGCAGAUGGCGGCAGACUGAUGCAGUAACGACACACAAUACCUUCUUUAAUUGUAAAUUAUCCGGUCAACGGAUAAAAAACGAAACGAUAAGAUGCAAAGACCUACGUCAAUGUGACCAUCAUCUUUGUGGUUAGAGUUCCGUGCAGUGCAAUUGUUUGACUGGACGAUACGCACCCUGAACUCAGUUGUAAAAAUGUGCCUUUCUUCAUUUGUCGUUUGUUCUAUUUUUAUUUUAUGCUUAAAUCCAACAUUUUCACAUUGUUUAAGUUUGUAGUUAUGCUACCUUGACUUCAUUGUCAUGUUGAUGAUUGUUUAUAUUAUAAUUUCGAUAUUUGAAUGGUAAUAAAUGAAUGUGUUGUAGCAGUUGCGGAGGUCACCAAUGCGGCAGUUUAAGAAAACACUCAUUGCGUUUUUUAAAGACGUGUUUAAACCGCCAGCAUGAGAAUGCUAAACAGGAAGUGCUUACAGUUUAAUGUUUUUGUAAAAAACACUGGGAAAAAGUCUGAGUUCUUUGCAGUUUUCCUGGUGUUUUUCAAACUGCACCAAUUUUCUACUCAAAAUGUUCAAUUAACUUUAAGUGUUUUGCCAAGAGAAUUGUUUGUAUUAAGUACUUUUUUCAGAAUGUGUGUGUUCUAUUGUUGCCCAAAGUAAUACAAAGAAAAAAAUCUGAAGUUGUUUUUAUUUUUAAGCUAUUACGCCAUGAUUUUAUCAGUCCGGCCCCUGAGCUAAAAUAAGUUUCAAACCGCUGGUUUAGAAGUUUAUAUUGGGGUAUGUUGUUUCUUAAUUGGGAAAGACGUUCAUAUCUCUUGUUUUCAUGUUAGCAUUUAAGCUAACGAGCUG